UACGUAGGGGGCAAGCGUUAUCCGGAAUUAUUGGGCGUAAAGAGCUCGUAGGUGGUUUGUCGCGUUGUUCGUGAAAACCGGGGGCUUAACCUUCGGCGUGCGGGCGAUACGGGCAGACUGGAGUACUGCAGGGGAGACUGGAAUUCCUGGUGUAGCGGUGAAAUGCGUUGAUAUUAUGGGGAACACCAAAAGCGAAGGCAGUAGACUAGGGCACUCCUGACACUGAAACAUGAAAGCGUGGGUAGCGAAUGGG
rnacentral:rRNA from 1 species